UGGGGAAUAUUGCACAAUGGAGGAAACUCUGAUGCAGCAACGCCGCGUGAAGGAUGAAGGUCUUCGGAUUGUAAACUUCUUUUAUCGGGGAAGAAUAAUGACGGUACCCGAGGAAUAAGCCACGGCUAACUACGUGCCAGCAGCCGCGGUAAUACGUAGGUGGCGAGCGUUGUCCGGAAUUACUGGGUGUAAAGGGCGAGUAGGCGGGAACGAAAGUCAGAUGUGAAAUGCAAAGGCUCAACCUUUGAACUGCAUUUGAAACUUCGUUUCUUGAGUGAUGGAGAGGCAGGCGGAAUUCCCGGUGUAGCGGUGGAAUGCGUAGAUAUCGGGAGGAACACCAGUGGCGAAGGCGGCCUGCUGGACAUUAACUGACGCUGAGGAGCGAAAGCGUGGGGAGCAAACA
rnacentral:rRNA from 1 species